UACGUAGGGUGCGAGCGUUAAUCGGAAUUACUGGGCGUAAAGCGUGCGCAGGCGGUCGUUCAAGUCGCGUGUGAAAGCCCCCGGCUCAACUGGGGAGGGUCACGCGAUACUGAUCGACUCGAAGGCAGGAGAGGGUAGUGGAAUUCCCGGUGUAGUGGUGAAAUGCGUAGAUAUCGGGAGGAACACCAGUGGCGAAGGCGACUACCUGGCCUGUUCUUGACGCUGAGGCGCGAAAGCUAGGGGAGCAAACGGGG
rnacentral:rRNA from 1 species